rnacentral:misc_RNA from 1 species
GCCAUCUUUAGCUUGAUUGUUGAGAUUUUGGGGGCGAUAAGGCUCACUCAUUUUCAUUUGUUUUGGGCGAGGCUACGGAUUUUCCCUACGCUAUUCAGGGAUCAGUUGAAUCAAAGAUAAGAGGGCUCAUUUGAAGCUGCUGAGCCCUGCUUUUCGUAAUUUUUCUUGAAAAGGGGCAGUUUUCCAUCCCCCGGUGGUGCGCCAGAUUCGUAGCGUGUGGUUUUAUGUAAAUUUUGCGGCCAAGAGGAGGGAUUGGAUUGAUUAGAGUCGAAAGUGAUCUCACAUUUGUUUUGGUCUUUCAAUAGAACUUCAUUCACUUACUCCUUAGUCAUGUCUGGCCGCAAUGAGUGUCGCAUCUAUGUUGGGAAUCUUCCUCCUGAUAUCCGCACCAAGGAUAUUGAGGACCUGUUCUACAAGUUUGGCAAAAUCGUAUUCAUUGAUCUGAAGAACCGGAAAGGACCCCCUUUUGCAUUUGUCGAGUUUGAAGAUCCAAGGGACGCCGAUGACGCCGUGUACGCCCGCGACGGGUACGACUACGACGGCUACCGGCUGCGUGUGGAGUUUCCGCGCGGCGGCGGCCCGGGCCGCGGCGGCAUGAUGGGCGGCCGAGGCAUGAUGGGCGCCGGCCCGGGCCGGGGCCGCGGCCCGCCGGCGCGCCGCUCUCAGUACCGCGUGCUGGUCACCGGACUGCCGCCCACCGGCAGCUGGCAGGACCUCAAGGACCACAUGCGCGAGGCCGGAGACGUCUGCUUCGCCGACUCCUACAAGGACGGCACCGGCACCGUCGAGUUCCUCCGAUACGAGGACAUGAAGUACGCCGUCAAAAAGCUGGACGAUUCCAAGUUCCGCUCACAUGAGGGUGAGGUGUCGUACGUGCGUGUCAAGGAGGACACGGGCGCCAGCAGCAGUGGCGGAGGUGGCGGCGGCGGCGGCGCGCGCCGCUCCCGCUCGCGCUCGUACUCGCCGCGCCGGCGCAGCUCGCCCACCUACUCGCCGGUGAAGCGCUCCUACUCGCGCUCCCGCUCCCGCUCCGUCUCGCGCGAGCGCUACUGAGCGGAGCCGACUGGCCGAGGAGGGGCGGCGGCCGCACGCCGGCGGCCUGAAGACGCAGACUGGGGACCCGCGACGCCCGGAGCUCACAGCCCAAGAAUCAAGGAUGCAUUGGAUAGCCCCAGGAUUGGAUUUGGAUGCAUUGGAUAGCACACAGACACACGCGGAAAUGGAUUUCAUGGCCGGGAUAUCACUCUGGAUCGGAUGUGAAGGGGAUGUGUGGCACUGGAUAGGAUGGUCACGGAUCAGGAUCACGGAAUCAUGGAUCACGGAAUCAUGGAUGGAUCAGGAUCAGGACAGGACAGGACCCCGCUGCACGCCGGAGCGCCACACUCGGACCCGGCUCGCUCGGACGGACCCAUGCCGGUAACGUGCCAACCCCGGGACAUCCCGCUUCCUGACCCCCUCAGCUGCUCAGACUCUGGCCUAAAGUCAUGUAUUCAGAGAUGAAAACUUCCUACUGCACAAAUUCUCUUCAUAUUUGAAUCGCCCCCGUCUUUAUCCGCACUUUCACUUGUCCGCCAGGGUGGUAAUGCUAAAGGUAUCGAUUUGCCAUCUCCACUUGCCAAAUACGUCCUUUUCUUUCGAAUUCGCUCUUAGCGAUGUUUAUCAUUUGCCUCACGACUUAAUCUCUGAACUGGACAGAUUAAGUCUUCCCUGACGCACAGACGAACGCUUCCCCCUAUCUCACGAUUCCGUGCAUCACGCUCUGUUAACGUAAGGAAUCGCUGGGUGCUAAGUCUUGCUCUUGUGCUCGUGUUCGCACUGACUGCCUUUUUCAGCUCCUUCGGAUACAUCAGCAGCAGCAGCAGCAGUGCGCCGCUGCUGCAGUUUCGGCGGGCCACAGCCCACCGGGCCAGGCCUCGUUCUGGUAAUGGCCAAUAAACUUACAUGCUUCUGC